rnacentral:rRNA from 1 species
UAGCGUAUAUUAAAGUUGUUGCGGUUAAAAAGCUCGUAGUUGGAUUUCUGUGGUAGGCAGCCGGUCCGCACUAUGUGCGAGUAUCUGGUUCGGCUACUGCAUCCUCCUGAAGAACGUUGGUGCGCUUCACUGCGUGGCACGGUAUUCAGGACUUUUACUUUGAGGAAAUUAGAGUGUUCACGGCAGGCGCUUGCCCUGAGUAUAUUAGCAUGGAAUAAUGAUAUAGGCACGUGUGUCUAUUUUGUUGGUUUCUAGACGCACGUGAAUGAUUAAUAGGGAUAGUUGGGGGCAUUCGUAUUUAACUGUC